CUUGCUACUUUUUACAUCUCUGAUAGCAAAUAAAAGCAGCCUUUGUCACAGAGGUCAGGUGGUGUGGCAUAGAUUUACUCCAAGAGGGAAACUAGUUCUGCCUAAAGCACACAGUCUUGUCCCUGCAUCUUGGUAGCAGACAUGAAGUUCAUGUAAUUUUGUGUUGUGUUGGCUUGUGUUGCCCUGGGAAGCAGGUCAGGGCAUGGGGAGGGCAGGCUCAUUGUCCCAUGCCAGGGGACACGGUGGAUGAUCAUGUAUGUAACAUAUUUACAUCAGAUUCUCUUUUAGGCACACACCUUUUCCUUUCUGCAUUCCUGCACCUGAACACUGUACUGCAAGGGGGGCAAAAAUCAAUUAAAGCACAGCUCUCAAAUUUGCUCUUCAGCUGCCUGGGAGUCGAGAACUGAACUCCUCACCCACUCAGUGCUCUGCAAAGUGUCAUCUGAGGUGCUACUAGAGGUGUCCAUCUUUCAGCUACCAGAGUGAUGAGUACUGUCAGGAUAUGCAAUAUAUAGUGCUGAGGUGGGACAGAGUGCAUUGUUCUCUCCUCAAUAUCACUUUUGAUCACAUCAUUAAGUACACAGUCCUGCCAUACA